UACGUAGGGUGCAAGCGUUAAUCGGAAUUACUGGGCGUAAAGCGUGCGCAGGCGGUGAUGUAAGACAGAUGUGAAAUCCCCGGGCUCAACCUGGGAACUGCAUUUGUGACUGCAUCGCUGGAGUGCGGCAGAGGGGGAUGGAAUUCCGCGUGUAGCAGUGAAAUGCGUAGAUAUGCGGAGGAACACCGAUGGCGAAGGCAGUCCCCUGGGCCUGCACUGACGCUCAUGCACGAAAGCGUGGGGAGCAAACAGG
rnacentral:rRNA from 1 species